ensembl:lncRNA
UUUCAUGGCUGCAGUCACCAUCUGCAGUGAUUUUGGAGCCCAAAAAUAUAAAGUCUGACACUGUUUCCCCUGUUUCCCCAUCUAUUUCCCAUGAAGUGAUGGGACCGGAUGCCAUGAUCUUCGUUUUAGCCCAGCUCAUUAAUCAAUAAUAGCUGAAAGCAUCUUAUUUCUGAAAUAAACCACACAGGAUGCUGUGGUAGGUGGAAUUCCAAGAUGCUCCUUCCCUCCUAGUGUAGGUGUCCCCUCGUACCCCCUGGAAUGGUGACAAUGAUGGAAUUGACUCUCAUGAUGAGGUCAUGCUCUGUGGCACAGUUGACUUCACAAAGUGUGACUAUCAAGGUAGUACUGACCCUUUAAAAGCAGAUGGUUUUUCCCAGUUGGUCUCGAAGAGUCAGAGAAUCAAAACACAAAGAAAAGUCUUUGGACAAGCUGUUGCUGACUCAAAGGUGGAGGGGUCCAUGUCUCAGAACUGCAGGUGGCUACUAGGAGCUGUGUGUGACCCCACAGCUGACAGCCAGCAAGGAAAUGGAGACCUUGAUGGUACAACCACAAAAAAUGAAUUCUGUCAGCACCGAGAAUGAACCUGGAAGCUGAUCGCUUCCCAGAGCUUCUGGGGUCUAGUGGGCACUCACUAUAGAGGAGCGACUAAUGAUGUUUGUUGAAGUACCGAGGGAUGAACAGCCUUGACAAUGGGUCAUUGGGCAAAUGCGACUCCGGAAUAAUUCACCAGAGUAUGGACGUCCGGGAAUCGAAAAGGAACUGGCCAGCCUCCUACCAUAAGCCCUGCUAAACAGAACAGACACUAUGAAAUUUAAAACCACAGACAGCAUAAUUAAAUUG